UGGGGUAUAGCCAAAGGGUAAGGCGGCAGGUUUUGAACCUGUUAGGUGUGAGUUCGAGUCUCACUGCCCCAA